GACGAACGCUGGCGGCGUGCUUAACACAUGCAAGUCGAACGGAAAGGCCUGCUUUCCCUUGUGUAUUGCGGGUACUCGAGUGGCGAACGGGUGAGUAACACGUGAGUGAUCUGCCCCCAACUUGGGUAUAAGCCUGGGAAACUGGGUCUAAUUCCCGAUAGGACUGCAGGGUGGUGCCUGUGGUGGAACACGAUUUUCUAGUGGUUGGGGAUGAGCUCGCGGCCUAUCAGCUUGUUGGUGGGGUAAUGGCCUACCAAGGCGGCGACGGGUAGCCGGCCUGAGAGGGUGGACGGCCACAUUGGGACUGAGAUACGGCCCAGACUCCUACGGGAGGCAGCAGUGGGGAAUAUUGCACAAUGGGCGGAAGCCUGAUGCAGCGACGCCGCGUGGGGGAUGACGGCCUUCGGGUUGUAAACUCCUUUCGACCGCGAGGAAGCCACCUGGUUGGAAGGGUGGUGACGGUAGUGGUAGAAGAAGCACCGGCUAACUACGUG
rnacentral:rRNA from 1 species